CUCAAUUUUGAUAAGUGUAUUGGGAUGCCCAUUUUCAUGCCCCGUCUUGGAAAGAUAGCAAGAAUUCUUGGACCACGUGGUUUGAUGCCAAACCCCAAACUAGUUUCAGUGACCAGUGAUGUUACUGGGGCAGUGCAAGAGGUGAGACGUGGUCGUAUUGAUUUUAAAAUUGACAAAACUGCCAUUGUGCAUGUGGGCCUUGGGAAGGUA